rnacentral:rRNA from 13 species
UACGGUGGAUGCCUUGGCAGCCAGAGGCGAUGAAGGACGUGAUAGCCUGCGAUAAGCGUUGGCGAGGUGGCAAAUACCCUGCGACCCAACGAUUUCCGAAUGGGGAAACCCACUCACCAUCAGGUGAGUAUCUAUAGGCCAAUACAUAACCUAUAGAGGCAAACCCGGGGAACUGAAACAUCUAAGUACCCGGAGGAAAAGAAAUCAACCGAGAUUCCGUAAGUAGCGACGAGCGAACGCGGACUAGCCCUUAAGCUGAUUUGGUUCUAGGAAAACGCUCUGGAAAGAGCGGCCAUAGAAGGUGAUAGCCCU